rnacentral:tRNA from 1 species
AAGACUAUAGUUAACCAUAACAUUUGACUUGCAUUCAAAAAGUAUUGAAUAAUCAAUUUUUCUUA